rnacentral:rRNA from 1 species
GUGUCAGCCGCCGCGGUAAUACGGGGGGAGCAAGCGUUGUUCGGAUUUACUGGGCGUAAAGGGCGCGUAGGCGGUCCUGACAAGUCACUUGUGAAAUCUCCGGGCUUAACUCGGAAAGGUCAAGUGAUACUGUCGGACUAGAGUGCAGAAGGGGCAACUGGAAUUCUCGGUGUAGCGGUGAAAUGCGUAGAUAUCGAGAGGAACACCUGCGGCGAAGGCGGGUUGCUGGGCUGACACUGACGCUGAGGCGCGAAAGCUAGGGGAGCGAACGGGAUUAGAUACCCGAGUAGUCC